CUUCACCGACCCCAGCCACAGCGGCUCGUCCGCCGACCGCUCCCGGCCGUACGUCGCCAGCAGCGCCUGCGCCUC
rnacentral:antisense_RNA from 1 species